AUGAUGGGUUACAACCUAAAAAAAGAUAACGAAUCGGAACAAUUAAUAAUUCCUUAAAGGUGGACUUGAGUGUAAUAUUAAAAAAUAUAAUGAAACUGAAUCUAAGACAUGCACACAUCGCCCGUCACUCUCGCCAAAAGGUGAGAUAAGUCGUAACAAAGUAGGUGUAAUGGAAAUUGCACCUGU
rnacentral:rRNA from 1 species